UACAGAGGGUGCAAGCGUUGCUCGGAUUUACUGGGCGUAAAGCGUACGCAGACGGUGAGAAAGGUCGGAUGUGAAAGCCCCGGGCUCAACCCGGGAACUGCAUCCGAAACCAUCUCGCUCGAGUGUGGGAGAGGGAAGCGGAAUUCCUGGUGUAGAGGUGAAAUUCGUAGAUAUCAGGAGGAACACCGGCGGCGAAGGCGGCUUCCUGGCCCAUUACUGACGUUCAGGUACGAAAGCGUGGGUAGCAAACAGGAUUAGAAACCCUGGU
rnacentral:rRNA from 1 species